rnacentral:antisense_RNA from 1 species
CUUCAGCGAGCCGAGGAGCAACGGCUGUUCCGGGCUGUGCGCGCGGCCGUAGGUGGCGAGCAGCGCCUGCGCCUC